GUUCCCAGGCCUCUGGGUUAAUUCUGCCAUAUUUGCAUUUGCUCUACAUUCAGGGUUCCUUGAAUCAGGGGUGGUGAGGUGGGAGGGGAAGGGAUGGAAGUGCGGGGUUGGGGUGGGGGCUGGGUGGCCAAACACUUAUGCCCGUUCAUUUUGCCUUAGUUUGGAAGGAUGGUUUUUUGGAUUCAUUCAGGGACAGUCUUCGUUUUAUUUUUUGACUUCCACAGAGAGUAAUUAGAAUCUACUAAUGCCUUGGAAACAUUUCUUUAUAUUAUUUAUUACAGUGCCCUCCAACAGAGAUACAAUGUAAGUCAUGUAUAUUAAAUUUUCUAGUAGUCACAUUAAAAAAAUUAAAAGGCACAGAAAAUAAAGCUUAAUACUAUAUUUUAUUUUCCCUAACAUAUCCAAAAUAUUAUAAUUUCAACAUGUAAUCAAUAUAAAAAUGAUCGUGAUUUUUACAUACUACUUUUGGGCACUGAGCCUUAGAAAUCUGGUGUGUGUUUUACCCUUACUUAUAACACAUCUUGUGCUCAGUUUGGACUAGCUACACUGUAUGUACCCACGUGUGGGUAACGGCUUCUGUAUUGGACAGUGCAGGUCUAUAAAGAAAGGCUUGUUCUGCUAAGUAAAUUAACUGCAUACUUGAGAUAUCCAAAAUAUUUAAAUUAGAAGAAUAAACAGUUUUUCAAGAAUCUUCUAAGCUCUAUAAAUCCAUAGAAAUAACUGGCAUGUAAAUUUACUAUUAAACCAAAACUACUGAUUAAAACAAAUGUUUCAAGGACUCACGUGAACAGAAGAAUUCUACAAUUCUGAAUAUCGUAAUUCAGGUGCUGGAAUUAAAUUACUUUUCUUUUUACAUAGCCUAUAACUCAUUCUUUGCUCUUCCUGAAUUAAUAGAGCAAUUAUUGUAUCGUUCCAUCUAUAACAUGUCCAUUUAAUAUUUAAUAUUGAACAAUGCAGCUCAGAACUUCUGCCUGGGGAGGAAAAUGUUAGUUUGGGUGACAUGCAUCAAUAUUGACGGGAGGGCCCUGGUUCUAGAGAGGAAAACAGACGCCGUGUCUGCUUUGUUUUGAGUGUUUAACCCAGUGUCUGAUAUAAAAAAUUGUUUAAUAAAUGUUAAUUAGUUCAAUAAAUGUGGGAAUGGAUAAUGGAAUAAAUGAAUGAACAGGCUUAGCUCACUGACACCACCUUUGUCCAGAGACUGAUUUAGUAGGGAUGGACCAUUAAGAAUCAGAAACUGCUGUGUAUUAGAUGCCAGACAGCUCAGUUCUGUGUAUUCAGAGGAAGGAAUGAUAACGUACAGAUAAUAACCUUUGAUAACCUGCCUUUCUAGGUUGCAAGGCAGGAAACUGCUGUUCUAUCAUCACCUCUCUCGAUUAAUCAUUAAGAGGAUUACAACUCUUUUCUUCAUUAUUCACACUGUCCCUCAACUAGUCAGUGAUUUUUUUGUUUGUAAGACUUGUUAUUGGGUCAAGUUCUUUAUCUGCAAAUAAAAACAGGAAACUCAUCUAGAAAGAAUCCCUUUACAUCAUCUCCAAAUAUAAUUUCCUACAACAUGUAGCUUUUUGCUCAGACCCAGUACCUUUUUCCAUUUUUAUAACUAUUAAAUAUUGUUGGAGUUUUGUUUGUCAUAGUACAUUUUCUGAAUGAUUUUUGUCUCAUACAUUUCUGGUAAACCGCCACUGUUUGAUAUUAAGGAGAAAAAUGUCAAGAAAACCCACAAGGAAACUUGAGUAAAGAGUGGAAAUGUCACUAAUGACUGUAACAGGAUGCCUAAAAUAUGAUGAAUUCCUGUUUCAUUACAUUAUUGCUACAGACCGGCAAAGACUUGGUGACUGAUAUUCAGCCCCUUUUUUGAUCCGAUAGGUUAGAGAAGAAAAAAAUUUCAAUCUACAUAUUACUGGAGUCAGAAAGGCAUAGAGAAAAGAGUCAGCAAGACCCAAGUUCAAAAUGUUGCUGAGCCUCAAUUUCCUCAUCUAUGAAAUGGGAGUAACGUCCAUCAUAGUGCAGUGCUGAACAUAGACGGAGUGAUGACUUCCAGCUCAUCACCGCUAAAGAGCUAGAGACACGAAGGGAAGAGACAAUGAAACGCUCUCGUGCUUAUAAAACAAACUGUGGGGCUGCUGUCAACCCAACUGCAAUACCAUCACAAAAUAUAAUCUCUCACACCUCAGCGGUCUCUUCAAUAAAGCACAAAUCUACAAAGUCUGCCAAGGCUUACAACUGUUUAUAUGAUGGACUUUUGAACAGUUGGGUCUGGUUCUCUUCAACAUCAACCUAAAAGGCUGGAUAACAUCAUCAUGAUUCACCAUCGUGGUUUUGUUAAAGUGAAGUGGAAACAGCACAUAUCUGAUGCAUGUAAAGAUGACUUGCACUGCUAUUUUUGAAAGUCUUUAAGAGUAUUGUGUUAACACAGGAAUUUAUAUUUUUGUUCACAACACUUUGGAAUACGAAUGACAAGUGAGUGUUUUAUUUCUGGAUACAGUUAUGCAAUGACAACAUCCUCGUAAAACGACUUUGCAAACAG